UACAGAGGGUGCGAGCGUUAAUCGGAAUUACUGGGCGUAAAGGGCUCGUAGGCGGCCAACUAAGUCAGACGUGAAAUCCCUCGGCUUAACCGGGGAACUGCAUCUGAUACUGGAUGGCUUGAGUUCGGGAGAGGGAUGCGGAAUUCCAGGUGUAGCGGUGAAAUGCGUAGAUAUCGGAAGGAACAUCAGUGGCGAAAGCGACUUCCUGGACCAGUACCGACGUUCAGGCACGAAAGCGUGGGGAGCAAACAGG
rnacentral:rRNA from 1 species